GCGUGGAGACAGGUGGUGCAUGGCUGUCGUCAGCUCGUGUCGUGAGAUGUUGGGUUAAGUCCCGCAACGAGCGCAACCCUCACCCCUUGUUGCCAUCAGGUAAAGCUGGGCACUCUAGGGGAACUGCCCCGGUCAACGGGGAGGAAGGCGGGGAUGACGUCAAGUCAUCAUGCCCCUUACGUCCUGGGCUACACACGUGCUACAAUGGCCGGUACAAAGGGAUGCAACGCCGUGAGGCAGAGCCAAACCCAAAAAGCCGGUCUAAGUUCAGAUUGGAGUCUGCAACUCGACUCCAUGAAGGAGGAAUCGCUAGUAAUCGCGUAUCAGCACGACGCGGUGAAUACGUUCCCGGGCCUUGUACACACCGCCCGUCACACCACGAAAGCCAGCUGUACUCGAAGUCGCUGAG
rnacentral:rRNA from 1 species